UAGGGAAUAUUGGUCAAUGGGUGAGAGCCUGAACCAGCCAUGCCGCGUGCAGGAAGACGGCCUUCUGGGUUGUAAACUGCUUUUCUACAGGAAGAAAAAAGUCUUGCGAGACGAAUUGCCGGUACUGUAGGAAUAAGCACCGGCUAACUCCGUGCCAGCAGCCGCGGUAAUACGGAGGGUGCGAGCGUUGUCCGGAUUUAUUGGGUUUAAAGGGUGCGUAGGUUGCUUUAUAAGCCAGUGAUGAAAGCCUGCAGCUUAACUGUAGAAUUGCCAUUGGAACUGUAGAGCUUGAGUACAGUUGAAGUGGGCGGAAUUUAUGGUGUAGCGGUGAAAUGCAUAGAUACCAUAAAGAACACCGAUAGCGUAGGCAGCUCACUAAGCUGAGACUGACACUGAUGCACGAAAGCAUGGGUAGCGAACAGGAUUAGAUACCCCCGUAGUCC
rnacentral:rRNA from 1 species